UGUGUUGUUGGGUAGGGGAGCGUUCUGUAAGCCUGCGAAGGUGUCUCGUGAGGGAUGCUGGAGGUAUCAGAAGUGCGAAUGCUGACAUAAGUAACGAUAAUGCGGGUGAAAAACCCGCACGCCGGAAGACCAAGGGUUCCUGUCCAACGUUAAUCGGGGCAGGGUGAGUCGACCCCUAAGGCGAGGCCGAAAGGCGUAGUCGAUGGGAAACAGGUUAAUAUUCCUGUACUUGGUGUUACUGCGAAGGGGGGACGGAGAAGGCUAUGUUAGCCGGGCGACGGUUGUCCCGGUUUAAGCAUGUAGGCGGAGGUUCCAGGUAAAUCCGGUACCUUAUUAACGCUGAGGUGUGAUGACGAGGCACUACGGUGCUGAAG
rnacentral:rRNA from 1 species